UUAUUUAAAUACAUAACAAGAGGAUAAUGUUAGGAAACAUCAAACUAAAGUCGAGGGUCCUCAAUCACCUCACUUAAGCAAAUUAUUAAAGCAUCGUCUGGCACUACAGGAAUCAACCAUCCAGGCUCUUUCCAAAAACUAUCUGUUUCAGCUGGAAUAGACUUCUUUUUAGUUUUCCGGGAAUAAUUUAUCACCCUUAUGGCCCCAUAAACGUCCAAGCUGUAAUCCUUUUGAAUUUUCUUGAUAUCCCAAUCGUGAACGAUUUUG